UACGGAGGAUGCGAGCGUUAUCCGGAUUUAUUGGGUUUAAAGGGUGCGUAGGCGGAUUAAUAAGUCAGUGGUGAAAACCUGCAGCUUAACUGUGGAACUGCCGUUGAUACUGUUAGUCUUGAGUAUGGUCAAGGUAGGCGGAAUGUGUAAUGUAGCGGUGAAAUGCUUAGAUAUUACACAGAACACCGAUUGCGAAGGCAGCUUACUGGGCCGUUACUGACGCUGAUGCACGAAAGCGUGGGGAUCGAACAGG
rnacentral:rRNA from 1 species